CCUACGGGUGGCAGCAGUGAGGAAUAUUGGUCAAUGGGCGAGAGCCUGAACCAGCCAAGUCGCGUGAGGGAGUACUGCCCUAUGGGUUGUAAACCUCUUUUGUCGGGGAGCAAAAGCCGGACGUGUCCGGCUGUGAGAGUACCCGAAGAAAAAGCAUCGGCUAACUCCGUGCCAGCAGCCGCGGUAAUACGGAGGAUGCGAGCGUUAGCCGGAUUUAUUGGGUUUAAAGGGUGCGCAGGCGGAUUUUUAAGUCAGCGGUAAAAUCGUGGGGCUCAACCCCAUCCAGCCGUUGAAACUGGGGAUCUAGAGUGUGCGAGAGGUAUGCGGAAUGCGUGGUGUAGCGGUGAAAUGCAUAGAGAUCAUGCAGAACCCCGAUUGCGAAGGCAGCAUACCGGUGCACAACUGACGCUCAGGCACGAAAGCGUGGGUAUCGAACAGGAUUAGAUACCCCAGUAGUC
rnacentral:rRNA from 1 species